rnacentral:rRNA from 1 species
UACGUAGGAGGCGAGCGUUGUCCGGAUUUACUGGGCGUAAAGCGCGCGCAGGCGGCACUUCAAGUAAGGUGUGAAAUCUCCCUGCUCAACGGGGAGGGUGCACUUUAGACUGAGGAGCUAGAGGACGGGUAGAGGGGGGUGGAAUUGCUGGUGUAGCGGUGAAAUGCGUAGAGAUCAGCAGGAACACCCGUGGCGAAGGCGGCCCCCUGGGCCGUACCUGACGCUGAGGCGCGAAGGCUAGGGGGAGCGAACGGG